GUUUUUUGCGAGUUGUGCUGCCACUGUAGGUUCUCCUUGAUGCUUGGAAGGUGAGGCUGGGCGGCUUAAAACAGCAUAAACCAUCAGAGCACACUGUGCUAUGGCACUCUGACAUUUUCAUGAUGAAGAGAACAACAAUAAGGAGUGGAUGAGCCAGAAGAGCUUCCCCCGAGAGAAUAUUUAGGCUACUGUAUGUCCUUGUGCAAGAGGUCACUCACCUCUGUUGUGUCUCGUCUCCAGGAUGUUCAGGCUAAAAGAGUCCCCAGGGUAUGUGAGCACCAAUUUAAAGGUUCCAGGAGAAACCAUGUGAUAAUUAGUGUAGGGGUGUUAAAUUAAUCUGCUGUUCAGGUUUUCUAUCAUUCUAUCGUAACGUGUAACGUAAAUUAAGAUCAUGCAGACUAUUUGACAUUAGUGUAUUAAAGGGUGUUUUUAUGUAUUUGUUGUGUUAUGUGUAGUUAUAAUGUGAGUGGCAGAUUUCCCUAUACUGUGGUAGGGGGUGAGGUCAUUUCCAGUUGCAGGCUACAUAAGGCAGCCAGUUUCCAUCAAGGGCUGCUACUCUCAGGACCACAUGCAGCCUGUGGUCCACAGUAUUUUAUAUGGAGGAUUAUGACUGUUAUUGUUACUAAGUCUUCAUUAUGGGUGAAAUAAACACCUUGUUGGUGUGCACCUAAUCGCCGCCUCAAGCGUCUUCCUUUUAAAGUCCAGCCGCUACACAGCCAUCCGAACAAUUUUAUAUGCUUGCCAACUGCAGCAUUUUACACAUGCGUGCAGCGCUUCAAAUGCAAUUCAUUUCUAUUUAUUUUGUCAGUGUUGCACAUCCAAUUGAUUUCAAGGUGCUCCUGCAGCUUCUGGUCAGAGUAGCAUCCUCUGCGGACCACAGGCUGUUGAGGAACUGAUGCUAAUCUAGAUAGAGGGAAGA